GACGUAGGGCGCGAGCGUUGUCCGGAUUUAUUGGGCGUAAAGAGCUCGUAGGCGGUCUGUCGCGUCGGCUGUGAAAACUCGGGGCUCAACUCCGAGCUUGCAGUCGAUACGGGCAGGCUAUAGUUCGGCAGGGGAGACUGGAAUUCCUGGUGUAGCGGUGAAAUGCGCAGAUAUCAGGAGGAACACCGGUGGCGAAGGCGGGUCUCUGGGCCGAUACUGACGCUGAGGAGCGAAAGCGUGGGGAGCGAACAGG
rnacentral:rRNA from 1 species